rnacentral:rRNA from 1 species
AGCAGUCGCCGCGGUAAUACGAAGGGGGCUAGCGUUGCUCGGAAUGACUGGGCGUAAAGGGCGCGUAGGCGGCUUGGUAAGUUAGAGGUGAAAGCCCAGGGCUCAACCCUGGAAUUGCCUUUAAGACUGCCGAGCUAGUAGGUGAGAGAGGUAAGUGGAAUUCCGAGUGUAGAGGUGAAAUUCGUAGAUAUUCGGAAGAACACCAGUGGCGAAGGCGGCUUACUGGCUCAUUCUAGACGCUGAGGUGCGAAAGCGUGGGGAGCAAACAGGAUUAGAUACCCCUGUAGUCCCUGUCUCUUAACA